CCGAAAAGAGAUGAGAUGAUUGAGUAUGGAAAGUAAUAACUCAUUUUCUAUUAAAUUAAUAUUCAGAUAUUAUUAGUAUAUGAUUAUAUAAUAACUUUUUUAAAUUUAAUUUCUAAUGCUAGCUGUCAUAUAGUGCGCAUCGUACACAGCUUAUUCGGCGGAGCGUGAGGGAAGCUGAAUUGCAUGCCGUAGUUGUCCAAAUCCAAAACGAUUACUAGUAUAUAGGGAUAGGGCCAUCUUACAGAAGUUUAAAUAU
rnacentral:lncRNA from 1 species